AUUGAACGCUGGCGGCAGGCCUAACACAUGCAAGUCGAACGGUAACAGGAAGACGCUUGCUUCUUUGCUGACGAGUGGCGGACGGGUGAGUAAUGUCUGGGAAACUGCCUGAUGGAGGGGGAUAACUACUGGAAACGGUAGCUAAUACCGCAUAAUGUCGCAAGACCAAAGAGGGGGACCUUCGGGCCUCUUGCCAUCGGAUGUGCCCAGAUGGGAUUAGCUAGUAGGUGGGGUAACGGCUCACCUAGGCGACGAUCCCUUACUGGUCUGAGAGGAUGACCAGCCACACUGGAACUGAGACACGGUCCAGACUCCUACGGGAGGCAGCAGUGGGGAAUAUUGCACAAUGGGCGAAAGCCUGAUGCAGCUAUGCCGCGUGUAUGAAGAAGGCCUUCGGGUUGUAAAGUACUUUCAGCGGGGAGGAAGGGAGUAAAGUUAAUACCUUUGCUCAUUGACGUUACCCGCAGAAGAAGCACCGGCUAACUCCGUG
rnacentral:rRNA from 1 species